rnacentral:rRNA from 1 species
GACGAACGCUGGCGGCGUGCUUAACACAUGCAAGUCGAACGGAAAGGCCUCUUUCGGGGGGUACUCGAGUGGCGAACGGGUGAGUAACACGUGAGUAACCUGCCCUUGACUUUGGGAUAACUUCAGGAAACUGGGGCUAAUACCGGAUAGGAGCUCCUGCUGCAUGGUGGGGGUUGGAAAGUUUCGGCGGUUGGGGAUGGACUCGCGGCUUAUCAGCUUGUUGGUGGGGUAGUGGCUUACCAAGGCUUUGACGGGUAGCCGGCCUGAGAGGGUGACCGGCCACAUUGGGACUGAGAUACGGCCCAGACUCCUACGGGAGGCAGCAGUGGGGAAUAUUGCACAAUGGGUGGGAGCCUGAUGCAGCAACGCCGUGUGCGGGAUGACGGCCUUCGGGUUGUAAACCGCUUUCGCUCAUGACGAAGCUUUGUGUGACGGUAGUGGGUAAAGAAGCACCGGCUAACUACGU